AUUGAACGCUGGCGGCAGGCUUAACACAUGCAAGUCGAACGAGCCGCGGGCGUGUGUGACGUGUCUGUGAAACUGCCCGAUGCAGGGGGAUAACUACUGGAACCGUUGGCUAAUACCCCAUACCUUCAGAUGUGCACAGAUGGGAUUAGCUGGUGGGUGGGGUAAUGGCUCACCUAGGCGACGAUCCCUAGCUGGUCUGAGAGGAUGACCAGCCACACUGGAACUGAGACACGGUCCAGACUCCUACGGGAGGAAGCAGUGGGGAAUAUCGCACAAUGGGCGAAAGCUUGACGCAGCAAUGCCGCGUGGGUGAAGAAGGCCUUCGGGUUGUAAAGUCCGUUCAGCGAGGAGGCGUUACCCGCAGAAGAAGCACCGGCUAACUCCGUGCCAGCAGCCGCGGUAAUUC
rnacentral:rRNA from 1 species